GCAGAUUUUGGACCAGAAAUGAGUGGUGACGGAUGGUUAUAGCAAGGAGGAAAUGGUGUGGGCUAGAAGAAACUCUUGGCAACUAAACAAUGAGCAUUGAGCAUGGCCGCUAGUAUAAAGUUGAAUUUUCCUUGUAAAUGGAUAUUGCCAAAUGACUCAUCCAGGCAUCGUCUAAAACUUGCGCGUUGCAUGCCGGUACAGCAACAGGUAUGGAAUGCUGAAUCUUUUGGAUGCGAGUAUUGGAGUUUAAAUCAUUGUAAUUUGCUUAUCAUCAGGAGAAAGAAAAUAAUUAAGUACUCAAAAUUCUCAAAUUAUGUUUUAAUGUAGAAUAUCUCUGUGUAGUUAUUAAUGAGUAGUAGUUUCUAUGAACAACCGUUCAUUUCAUCAUCAAUAUGAAAUGAAAUUCUUCUCAUUUUUCAUGGUUAAUGCGACGAGUUUUGUAUGUCCCGGAUUGCUUAGCCUCUUGAUUUCAUGAUUUUGUAUUUUUGUUUAUGGGAGUUAGUCAGGGUCAAUUAGGAUCUAGAGGUCGAUCCAAGCCAUCUGAACUUCAUAAGGGAUGAAGGAUACUGCACUUCAAAACAUCGAAAUUGUCAGAUAGCUUGACAAUAAAAUCGUUAUUGAACCACCGGGAUGGAUGGUUUGCCCAAGAAUGGAACAGGGGUGUUACAAAUAAAGGGAGAAACUUCAGACACUGAUGAAUUGUUCCUGUAAUGAAUAUAAAAUUGACAUGGAUUCCAUUUCUGAGUUCGUCACGAGACUGGAAGGGGGGAAAAAAGGAAAAAAGAAAAAGAAAAGAACAGUCCAUCUCCAAUCAGGAACCACAUUAGGGUAGGUCAUGACAAUUAUUUUUGCCUAUAAAUCGUUAAUGGAGAACAAGAAUUAUUAAGAACUGAAUGUGAUAUCUGCCCCUUUGUUGCACUAUGGGUGUUGUACCUUUCGCUUAUUACAUCGGAAUUAGUAUCUUGGCCUUUUUAUUAACCAGUCAUUAAAAAGACAUCAUUACGCUUGCUUGUUUGUCAUAGGUUGUUCCAGUUUUAUAAAUGGAUGGAGUGAAGAAUGUGUCAUCCCAUUCUUUUAAUUUAAUAUUCGAUCUUUUUCUUUUCCUAUCUCUUAUAAUAAAUUAUAUAUUACACUAAAAAGUCAUAGUGGAUGUUAAGGGAUAUUUACAUCGAAUAAAGAUGAAAAUAUA
rnacentral:lncRNA from 1 species